AGAGCAGGCCUUUCAGGCAUCCUCUCCUAAAACUUUCCAAGGCGGGCCUCGCGGCCCGCCCUUUUUUUUGCCCCUC
rnacentral:sRNA from 1 species